GAUUUGUCGCAGUUAAGGAAUCCAGCUCUUGUAUCCCUCCGCACUCUACCACUGCGAUUUCUGCUACUUCUGCGACUUAUCUCCGAAUGAAAAAGUUACAUGUGUUCACACAGAGAAUUGCAUCUCAACAAAACUGGCAUUAGUACCCGAACUACAUUUCAGUCACUCAGUAAAGCGAUAAUUCGAAAUAUUAUCGUCAACAGCCACUGCGUCUUUAGACUGUCUUCGUCAGGCGAGAGACGCAGUUCCAACCCCGAUUACUGGUUUCUGUACAUAUCUAUCCACUUCAAGGCUCUUGGGAGAGAAUCGUGAAUAUUCAAGACAACUCUUAGAGGAUUUGCAGUUUAAAAGUGCCAUAAUUAUGAAAUAAGUGUGCAUAAUGAGUGAUUGAACUGUGUUUAAUUUGAAGUUGUCAUGCGACUUUAAAGGAAUGAUAAAUGUUAAAUACAGUGAGUGAAUAAAUAAAAUAAUUUCCACGUGUUAAGCAGUCCUAUACCCAAAUAUUUUCCACUAUUUAAUUACUGGUAAAGACUUGGAGAGUGUGACAUGCCGCCGCCCCCCAUCCCCCUUUCCCCAGAAGCUUGGUGUGACACUGACCUGGAAUAUAGCCCAAGGUCUAGAGUAUGCAUUUUGAGCCCAUUAUGAAAGUGGGAAGUACAGAUCUUAAAUCAGGAAUCAUUUAAGUGCAGUACUUGAAGGUAAACCAGGAAAAGUUUACUUAUGAAGGUGCUUGUAGUGUCAGCAAAAAGUUCUUGUGUGCAGUUGCCAUGUAGAACGCCAGGUGUAAAAUUUUCCUCCAUAGUUUUGAACACUGGCGGAACAAAAGCGAGGCACUCAUAUGAUUCAAUACAAUUGUCUUUGUUUCAUGUCAGAGUUCUGCUGUGUUAACAUUGCAAAUUCCUGUAGACAGGUGGAGUAUUUACCAUAAUUGUCAUAUUGGAAGCAGAAUCAAACAUAUUUUUUAGGUUACUUGUCUCUAAGUGAUAUUUUCAGGAGAAAUGGGCAAUGCUGCUGCUUAUUGAUUUAAUACAUUCAGUUACAGCUGUUUGGCCAACCAUUACUGGUGCUGAAAGUGCGUGUCGUCAUACAGUACGCACACACAGUCCCAAGCUGAGGCAUAUUACAAGCGUUAAAACCACUGAGGCAGAUUUUUUUUUUUUUUUUUUUUUUUUAAUAUGUAAAGUAAGUUGCCAAUAACUUUGAGUAUGAGGUUAUUGGACUUCUUCUUAAAAAUAGUGUAGUUAACAUAAAGACCAAGUACUACUUCAGUAAUCCUGCCGAGAUAAAUUUUAAGGGCGAACACCUAGAUUGUGAUGCCAGUAUGAAGUCUCAGUUGCAAUUCCUUUUCCAGUGCCUAAGUUUAAAAUGUAUAGGCCCUAUGUAAUAAGUGGCUGGAUUGGAGCAAGCAAGUUGAACAAUUCACAGCAGUUUGGUGUUUAAGAUGGUGACACUACAGCUACAUUUAGGGAAUAACAUACGCAUGAAACAGAUAUUCAGAUUUUUCACAUUGAAAUGGGACUGUUUACCCAUGUCUAUUAGAAAGAUGAAAUGUUAAACUUGCUGCAGCCCUUGCUCUUAAUUUGGUUCAAAGAAAGACACUGGGUGCUGGAAAGGUACAUUCUCACCUGGUGAACUUACCUGCAACUGCAGGAACAAACUUAAUUAAAUUCUUUACAUUUUUAGCUUUGUAAGAGACUUAACAGUGCAUUAGCAAGUGGUCUCGGGAAAUGCUAGUGAGUACAGUGAGCAGUAACCUUGUGACCUUGAGCACAUAUCUAAUGCCAUCUGACUGGCUAUUGCAAGGGAUAAGAGCUAUUUCCUACCAGGUAAAAUGCACACUUAUAAUUUACUGAACAGGUUCAGGAAAUGUCAAAUAUGUGGUGGCAGCUACUGUAUUUCUGUUUAAAUUCAAAUAGAUUUUAUUUAUCUAUGGUUUUACAUAUGGCAUUGUCAGUAAAUAUUAAAUUAUAUAAUGUUGGUGUAAAUACAGUUACAUUGUUAUGUAGACAAGCUGUUUCUUCUACAUAAUUCAGUUUUUCAAGUUACACAGACUGCAAAUAUUUAAAAAAGUUACAACUUGUGUUAUUAGGACACAUUUUUAAUAAAAGAUCUGUGUUACAGGAAGCAUUUUUCUUUUGGUAUUUAUCUACAGCAUUUUACUGACAAAUUCAUAAAAAUGAGCAUUUUCUGAGCUGGAAACUUAUACGCCCUGGCAUUUGCCCA